rnacentral:rRNA from 1 species
AGGGCGAAGCCCAGAGGAAACUCUGGUGAGAGCGCCGCAGCGGUCCUGACGUGCAAAUCGGUCGUCCGACCUGGGCAUAGGGGGCGAAAAGACUAAUCGAACCAUCUAGUAGCUGGUUCCCCUCCGAAGUUUCCUCAGGAUAGCUGGCGCUCAUUACUUACUCGCAGUUUUUAUUCGGUAAGCGAAUGACUAGAGGCCUUGGGCGGCGACACGAUCUCAACCUAUUUCUCAAACUUUAAAUGGGGUAAAGAGGGCCCUGCUCGCUGGCUUGGAGCAGGUCGUUGGAAAUGCGAGUGCCCAGUGGGGUCCACUUUUGGUAAGCAGAACUGGCGCUGGCGGGAUGAACCGAACGCGCGGUUAAGGCGCCCGAUGCCCGACGCUCAUCAGACCCCAGAAAAGGUGUUGGUUCUGAUAUAGACAGCAGGACGGUGGCCAUGGAAGUCGGAAUCCGCUAAGGAGUGUGUAAACAACUCACUGCCCGAAUCAAACUAGCCCUGAAAAUGGAUGGCGCUGGAGCGUCGUCGGGCCCAUACCCGGCCGUCGCUGGCGAGUCGGAGCCUCGUGGGAUCUACGCCGCGAUGAGUAGGAGGGGCCGCCGCGGUGCGCACACGGAGAAGCCUAGGGCGCGCGGGCCGGGUGGAGCCGCCGCGGGUGUGCAGAUCUUGGUGUAGUAGCAAAUAUUCAAACGAGAACUUUGGAAGGCCGAAGUGGGGAGAAGGGUUCAUGUGAACAGCAGUUGAACAUGGGUCAGUGCGGUCCUCUAAGAGAUUGGCGAACGCCGUUUCAAGUAGGCGGGGGCGAUGGCCUCCGUCGCCCCCCGGGGAUCGAUCGAAAGGGAGUCGGGUCUCAGAUCCCCGAAUCUGGAGAGGCGGAGAUAGGCGCCGCGAGGCGUCCCAGUGCGGUGAAACGCAAAACGACCCCGGAGAAGCUGGCGGGAGCCCCGCGAAGAGUUCUCUUUUCUCUUUGUGAAGGCAGGGCACCCUGGAAUGGGUUCGCCCCGAGAUAGGGGCCCGUGCCCUGGAAAGCGUCGCGGUUCCGCGGCGUCCCGGUGAGCUCUCGCUGGCCCUUGAAAAUCCGGGUGAGAAGGUGUAAAUCUCGCGCCAGCGGCCGUAGUACCUAUAUCCGCAGCAGGUCUCCAAGGGUGAACAGCCUCUGGCAUGAUGGACACAGGGGGUAAGGGAAGUCGGCAAAUCAGAUCUCCGUAACUUCGGGAUAAGGAUUGGCUCUAAGGGCUGGGUCGGUCGGCUGCUGGGGUGCGAAGCGGGGCUGGGCCUGGCCGCGCUGGCUGGGAAGCAGCCACCGCCGCCUCCUGUCGUCCUCCCCUCUGAAGCGUCUCUGCGCGGCGGGGUGGGCUCGAGGGUCUUUGCGCGUGGCGUCGGCUCUUCGGGGGUCGUCGCGGCGCGGGGCUCGAGGGUCUGCUCUCGUCCGGGGGCGUGGAGGUGGGGGUGUGGGGGCUUCAGGCUCGGGCGGCGUGGUCGGUGGCGACGUCUGGACGUGGCGUCGGGCCCUUCUCGCGGAUCUCCUCAGCUACGGUGACUGUAGCGGCUUCCACCCGGGGGGUCGCGGCGGCUCGCCUCGGCUGGCACCUAGCAGCUGACUUAGAACUGGUGCGGACCAGGGAAUCCGACUGUUUAAUUAAAACACGAGCAUCGCGGAGGGCCCCAGCGGGUGUUGACGCAAUGUGAUUUCUGCCCAGUGUGCCUCUGAAUGUCCAAAGUGAAGAAAUUCCAAUGUGAAGCGGCGUGGUAAACGGCGGGAGUAACUAUGACUCUCUUAAGGUAGCCAAAUGCCUCCGUCAUCUAAUUAGUGACGCGCAGAUGAAUGGAUGGAUAGACGAGAUUCCCACUGUCCCUACCUACUAUAUCACAGCGAAACCACAGCCAACGGGAACGGGCUUGGCAGAAUCAGCGGGGGGAAAGAAGACCCUGUUGAGCUUGACUCUAGUCUGGUAGUCGUAGUACUUGGAAGAGACAUGAGAGGUGUAGAAUAAGUGGGAGGUCCCGGCCGACGUUGAAAUACCACUACUCUUAUCGUUUUUUCCACUUACCCGGUGAGGCGGGAGGCGAGCCCCGAGCGGGUUUCUUCUCUUCUGGUGUCAAACCCCCGGCCUGGCCGGGGGCAACCCGUCCCGGGGACAGUGACAGGGUGGGAGUUUGACUGGGGCGGUACACCCUGUCAAACGGUAACGCAGGUGUCCUCUAAGGCGAGCUCAGGGGAGGACAGAAACUCUCCGGUGGAGCAGAAGGGCAAAAGCCUCGCUUGAUCUUGAUUUUUCAGUAUGAGUACAGACCGUGAAAGCGCGGCCUCACGAUCCUUCUGACGUUUUGGGUUUUAAGCAGGAGGUGUCAGAAAAGUUACCACAGGGAUAACUGGCUUGUGGCGGCCAAGCGUUCAUAGCGACGUCGCUUUUUUGAUCCUUUCGAUGUCGGCUCUUCCCUAUCAUUGUGAAGCAGAAUUCACCAAGCGUUGGAUUGUUCCACCCACUACUAAUGGAACGUGAGCUGGGUUUAGACCGUCGUGAGGACAGGUUAGUUUUACCCUUACUGAUGAUGUGUUGUUGCAAUAGUAAAUCCUGCUCAGUACCGAGAAGGAACCGCAGGUUCAGACAUUUGGUGUUAUGUGCUUGGGCUGAGGAGCCAAUGGGGCGAAGCUACCAUCUGUGGGCUUAUGACUGAACGCCUCUAAGUCAGAAUCCCCCUAGAUGUGAUUGAUACCAUAGUGCCCGGGCUAUAAGAUUGAUCCGGGAUAACCGACCCCCCGGGGCCGGCGCAGAAAGGACAUUUGAUACUGGCUUGGGGUGCGGCCGGAAUGAUGGUCGCCCUCUCCAUGAUCACACCACAUGUUUACCAAGGACUGGGUGUUAAAACC